rnacentral:rRNA from 1 species
CCCUGCCAUUUGUACACACCGCCCGUCGCUACUACCGAUUGAACGGUUUAGUGAGAUCUCGGGAUCGGCCCGCCGUGACUGGCAACAGUCUGGCGGGCUGAGAACUUGCCCAAACUUGAUCGUUUAGA